GAAGAUGAUGAUAUGUAUUGUCGCCCCAGUCUUAGUUGCAUCUAUUGAUGCACGGUGGUGACUGACAGAGUAUCUGAUUC